UACAGAGGGUGCGAGCGUUGUUCGGAAUUACUGGGCGUAAAGCGCGCGCAGGCGGCCUUUAAGUCUGACGGUGAAAUGCCGGGGCUCAACCCCGUGCCCGCCGGAGAUACUGGGAGGCUGGAGACGAGUAGAGGCAAGCGGAAUUCCGGGUGUAGCGGUGGAAUGCGUAGAGAUCCGGGAAGAACACCGGAGGCGAAGGCGGCUUGCUGGGCUCAUGCUGACGCUGAGGCGCGAAAGCGUGGGGAGCGAACAGG
rnacentral:rRNA from 1 species